CAGACGGGUGAGURACACGUGGGAAUCUACCCAUCUUUAGGGAAUAAYUCAGGGAAACUUGUGCUAAUACCCUAUACGUCCUCCGGGAGAAAGAUUUAUCGGAGAUGGACGAGCCCGCGUUGGAUUAGCUAGUUGGUGAGGUAAUGGCUCACCAAGGCGACGAUCCAUAGCUGGUCUGAGAGGAUGAUCAGCCACACUGGGACUGAGACACGGCCCAGACUCCUACGGGAGGCAGCAGUGGGGAAUAUUGGACAAUGGGCGCAAGCCUGAUCCAGCCAUGCCGCGUGUGUGAUGAAGGCCUUAGGGUUGUAAAGCACUUCACCGAUGAAGAUAAU
rnacentral:rRNA from 1 species